rnacentral:rRNA from 1 species
UACGUAGGUGGCAAGCGUUGUCCGGAUUUACUGGGCGUAAAGAGCGCGCAGGCGGUCGUGCAAGUCGCGUGUGAAAGCCCCCGGCUCAACUGGGGAGGGUCACGCGAUACUGCUCGACUUGAAGGCAGGAGAGGGAAGUGGAAUUCCCGGUGUAGUGGUGAAAUGCGUAGAGAUCGGGAGGAACAUCAGUUGCGAAGGCGGCUCUCUGGACCAGCACUGACACUGAGGCACGAAAGCGUGGGGAGCAAACAGG